CCUACGUGGAGCAGCAGUAGGGAAUAUUGCUCAAUGGGGGAAACCCUGAAGCAGCAACGCCGCGUGGAGGAUGAAGGUUUUCGGAUUGUAAACUCCUUUUGUUAGAGAAGAUAAUGACGGUAUCUAACGAAUAAGCACCGGCUAACUCCGUGCCAGCAGCCGCGGUAAUACGGAGGGUGCAAGCGUUACUCGGAAUCACUGGGCGUAAAGAGCGCGUAGGCGGUCCGUUAAGUCAGCGGUAAAAUUGCGGGGCUCAACCCCGUCGAGCCGUUGAAACUGGCAGACUUGAGUUGGCGAGAAGUACGCGGAAUGCGCGGUGUAGCGGUGAAAUGCAUAGAUAUCGCGCAGAACUCCGAUUGCGAAGGCAGCGUACCGGCGCCAGACUGACGCUGAGGCACGAAAGCGUGGGGAUCGAACAGGAUUAGAUACCCGAGUAGUC
rnacentral:rRNA from 1 species